UGGCGGACGGGUGAGUAACGCGUGGGUAACCUGCCUUGUACAGGGGGAUAACAGUUGGAAAUGACUGCUAAUACCGCAUAAGACCACAGCACCGCAUGGUGCGGGGGUAAAAACGUCCGGUGGUAUGAGAUGGACCCGCGUUGGAUUAGCUAGUUGGUGAGGUAACGGCCCACCAAGGCGACGAUCCAUAGCCGGCCUGAGAGGGUGAACGGCCACAUUGGGACUGAGACACGGCCCAG
rnacentral:rRNA from 1 species